GAUGAACGCUGGCGGCGUGCUUAACACAUGCAAGUCGAACGAAGCACUUUAUUACGAUUUCUUCGGAAUGACGAUUUAGUGACUGAGUGGCGGACGGGUGAGUAACGCGUGGGUAACCUGCCUCAUACAGGGGGAUAGCAGUUGGAAACGACUGCUAAUACCGCAUAAGCGCACGGUAUCGCAUGAUACAGUGUGAAAAACUCCGGUGGUAUGAGAUGGACCCGCGUCUGAUUAGCUAGUUGGCGAGGUAACGGCCCACCAAAGGCGACGAUCGGUAGCCGGACUGAGAGGUUGAACGGCCACAUUGGGACUGAGACACGGCCCAGACUCCUACGGGAGCAGCAGUGGGGAAUA
rnacentral:rRNA from 1 species